GCCAAUCGGAUGCUGGGCACGCAAGAGCAACAGAAAAAUAUAAUCAACACGCCUAAAACAAAUACAGGACUUGUAUCACGUGCAUAUUCAAUUAAUAUUAUUAAUUUUUGUUUUUGUGGUCGAGUGCGAGUGCAGUGUCAAAAACAUAGAUAAAUCAAGUUAAAAGUUUAUUUUUGUUCUGGUGUGACAAGGGUCCAGCUGUGGGCGAACAAACGAAAUUCAGCCAAAUCAUAAACAAAAACAAAGCCUGGCCGAUGCCAUGGCUACUGAUUUGGGCGCCACGUGCAGACGGCGUCGCCGCCACAGUCAGCGACUAUAGUUUGUACACUGAUAUCAACAACAAUUACAAUAAUAAUAGCAACAGCAAAAGUAAAAGCAACAACAGUUGUUGGCCAUAAAGCCCAUAAGCUGAGAGUGGCGCCGCAGCAUCUUAAAGUGUUUUGGUCACACCAUAAAUCAAGUGACAGGCCCCGCGAACGGCGCGCAUAAACAAAACUCAUUUGCACACGUUGUCCUUAGCGCCGUGUCCUUUUGUCGCUGUCCCCCACGGACACCACUAGCAGCAGUAGCGGCGGCGGCAGCAGCGCAUAAAUUUGCCAACAGUUGGCAGCGCCGCACGCACACUGUCCAAAGGCUUUGGGCGCUCCAAACUUGUUUUCAAUUCGAAUGUGCAAAUUGCAGGAUGCCAGGAUUUGGAUGCUAAAUUACGUUUAAGCAUCCGGCGACAAUUUUUGCCCAAAAACAUUUCCGCGCAAGAACGACGGUAACAACAGCGGCAACAGCAGCAACAGCAGCAGCAGCAACAACAACUGCAACAUUUUCCCUGCUGUCGACAACAUUUUAUGACGGUCACAUAAUAACGUGUUGCGACAAAAAAGGCGGUAAAAGCCGCGCGACUGCAGGAGUCGAAGAGGAUGCAAAUUACGUGCCACAUGAGGCGCCAAAGCUUUUGAUUUGAUUGCAAUACGCUCAUUCGGUCAUUCGCUCAUUUGGUCAAGUGGUCAUUAGAUCCGUUGGCCAUUUAACCAGUUACUCAUUCGGCCAAACAGUGGGCUUAGUCUGAUUGAUUGACUGCAGGAGGCGGAGCUCACGUUGAUUGCCUCGUUUCGUGGGACAAUGAACAAAAAUUCGUCAUUGCCGCUGGCCACCAUUCUGACCAACAGCAGCAAUAGCAACAGCAACAGCAACAGCAACAGUAACAACAGCA